rnacentral:lncRNA from 1 species
ACUGUAAAAAAAAUGGGAAAAUUGAGCUCCUGGAUUUGGUUUCUGCUUCUUCAUGGAUAUGUUUCCAGUGCUCAAGAUCAUAAAGUAAUUACAAUGGGAUGAAUAAUUCACAUUAAUCAGCUCCCAAUCCCAAGUCUCUCACGAACUCAAAGCUCAUAACUGAGUCAGGCUGGGGACACUGAGCAGCCUCGUCAGAAGGCAGAAGACCUCAUCAGGAGUUUCUAGUCCUGUCUGUCCCCACCCCU